rnacentral:rRNA from 1 species
AGUGAACGCUGGCGGUAGGCCUAACACAUGCAAGUCGAACGGCAGCACAGUAAGAGCUUGCUCUUACGGGUGGCGAGUGGCGGACGGGUGAGGAAUACAUCGGAAUCUACUUUUUCGUGGGGGAUAACGUAGGGAAACUUACGCUAAUACCGCAUACGACCUACGGGUGAAAGCAGGGGAUCUUCGGACCUUGCGCGAUUGAAUGAGCCGAUGUCGGAUUAGCUAGUUGGCGGGGUAAAGGCCCACCAAGGCGAGGAUCCGUAGCUGGUCUGAGAGGAUGAUCAGCCACACUGGAACUGAGACACGGUCCAGACGCCUACGGGAGGCAGCAGUGGGGAAUAUUGGACAAUGGGCGCAAGCCUGAUCCAGCCAGACCGCGUGGGUGAAGAAGGCAUUCGGGUUGUAAAGCCCUUUUGUUGGGAAAGAAAAGCAGCAGGUUAAUACCUCGCUGUUCUGACGGUACAAAAAGAAUAAGCACCGGCUAACUUCGUG